CUAGAUUAGUUUAACAUGUGAAAUGUCCGUAAAGUAUCAUCAUAUGAUUGGUUUUAGGGCACAUUUCCAACAAUACAAACAAGUUUGGCGGUUGGAUCGUUAAAAUUAGUUUCAUAGAAUUUGUAUCCCAUUAAAACGAUAGAUUCACUAACACUUAGAGUUUAUUUAUACUUUCAUUAAGUAUAACAUAAGAUUUUGUGGUAUCCACUUGGGAAAAUAUUUUAAAUUGAUGAUCAAAUUCAUUCAUUUUAUUCGUAUAGGGUCAAGGAGGGUAAUUGUAAAAAAUCAUCAAAAUCGGAGUUAAAAUAACCGUUAAAUCGUGAAUUUUUGUUUUAUAACCGUCGAAAAGUUUUGUCUCAUUACUUGAUCUCUGAAUGUUUUUUUAAUGUGAUUUUUGGCGUAUGUGAUCUCGAAGCAUAUACAAACAAGUUUGACGGUUGGAUUGUUAAAAUUAGUUUCAUAGAAUUCGUAUCCCAUCAAAAUGAUAGAUUCACUAACACUUAGAGUUUAUUUAUACUUUCAUUAAGUAUAACAUAAGAUCUUGUGGUAUCCACUUGUGUAAAUAUUUUAAAUUGACGAUCAAAUUCAUUUAUUGUAUUCGUAUAUGGUCAAGGAGUGUCGUUGUAAUCACCAAAAUCGGAGUUAAAAUAAUCGUUAAAUCGUGAUUUUUUGUUUUAUAACUGUCGAAAAGUUUUGUCUCAUUUCUUGAUCUCUGAAUGUUUUUUUUUAUGUGAUUUUUGGCGUAUGCGAUCUCAAAGCAUAUACAAACAAGUUUGACAGUUGGAUCAUUAAAAUUAGUUUCAUAGAAUUCGUAUCCCAUCAAAACGAUAGAUUCACUAACACUUAGAGUUUAUUUAUACUUUCAUUAAGUAUAACAUAAGAUUUUGUCAUGUCCACUUGUGUAAAUAUUUUAAAUUGAUGAUCAAAUUCAUUCAUUGUAUUCGUAUAGGGUCAAGGAGUGUAGUUGUAAACAAUCAUCAAAAUCGGAGUUAAAAUAACCGUUAAAUUGUGAUUUUUUGUUUUAUAACCGUCGAAAAGUUUUGUCUCAUUACUUGAUCUCUGAAUGUUUGUUUUUUGUGAUUUUUGGCAUAUGCGAUCUCAAAGCGUAUACAAACAAAUUUGAUGGUUGGAUUGUUAAAAUUAGUUUCAUAGAAUUGGUAUCCCAUCAAAACGAUAAAUUCACUAACGCUUACAGUUUAUUUAUACUUUCAUUGAGUAUAACAUAAGAUUUUGUGGUAUCCACUUGUGUAAAUAUUUUAAAUUGACAAUCAAAUUCAUUCGUUGUAUUCGUAUAGGGUCAAGUAGUGUAAUUGUUAAAAAUCAUCAAAACCGGAGUUAAAAUAACCGUUAAAUCGUGAUUUUUUGUUUUAUAACCGUCGAAAAGUUUUGUCUCAUUUCUUGAUCUCUGAAUGUUUGUUUUUUGUGAUUUUUGGCAUAUGCGGUCUCGAAGCAUAUACAAACAAGUUUGAUGGUUGGAUCGUUAAAAUUAGUUUUAUAGAAUUCGUAUCCCAUCGAAACAAUAGAUUCACUAACACUUAGAGUUUAUUUAUACUUUCAUUAUGUAUAACAUCAGAUUUUGAGGUAUCCGCUUGUGUAAAUAUUUUAAAUUGACGAUCAAAUUCAUUCAUUGUAUUCGUAUAGGGUCAAGGAGUGUAGUUUUAAAACAUCAUCAAAAUUGGAGUUAAAAUAAUCGUUAAAUCGUGAUUUUUUUUAUUUUUAACUGUCGAAAAGUUUUGUCUCAUACUUGAUCUCUGAAUGUUUGUUUUUUGUGAUUUUUGGCGUAUGCGGUCUCGAAGCGUAUACAAACAAGUUUGACGGUUGGAUCGUUGAAAUUAGUUUCAUAGAAUUUGUACCUCAUCAAAACGAUAGAUUCACUAACACUUAGAUUUUAUUUAUACUUUCAUUAAGUAUAACAUAAGAUUUUGUGGUAUCCAUGUCACAGCCCGUCCCGGGAUUUCUAUAUCGGGGGCGUGAAUUGACGUAAUUACCCUUGGCGGACAUUUGGGUACGUGUGUGUGACAUUAUUUGAAUUAAUUUUGUAAGUUUUGGGAUUAAACUAUUGGAAUUGGAAUUUUUGUGGUUAGGGAUUUGGAUGGAUGGUGAGGAUUGUGUUGGACCACACAAUCACACACACACGCACUCCCUGUCUUCUCUCCCUCCCGUAGCACUCUCUGUCUCUCUCCCUCACGAUCUCUCUCUUUCCCUCACUCUCCACGUACGGACCACCACCAAAACCCUUCAAAACUUGACGGAUCGAGGCAAAUAAGGUAUGUAUCUUCAUCGUUUUGACGUCCUGAGUUCAUUGGUGCUAGUUUUAGGAAGUGAAACCUUCGAUUUCACGUGAAUCCCGAACCUCCAUUUUUGAGGUACUGUUCAUGCGAACGUAAAAUGUUGUGUUUCAGGAGAAUUCAAGCUUAUAGCAAGCUUUGUAAGGUCCUAAGGAAGCUCGGGGACGUUCGUUUGAAGGAUUUGGACGUCGGGAUCGUGAGUUUCAAGGUUGGCCGAAUCUUUGGUUUUUGCAAGGUGAGAUUUCGUGAUUUUUAGGUCCUAAAACUAGUCCAACGUGAUAGUACACUCUUAGGGCUUCAAUUUGGUAUAAAAUACGAAGAAAAUGGGUGAAAAACGAAGGAGAUCUGUGAGUUUGAAAAUCGGCCGGAGUUUGGCCGGAGUCCGGCCGCCGGGAAACCAGUCCGGCGAGGCCCUGCGAAGGAGACAACACGUGCGCUGCACGUGCUGCGCGUGGCCAGCGCGUGGACCCGUGCCACGUGUGGCGCGUGGGGGAGCGUGAGCAGUCAAAAUUUUUUUCUAAAAAUAUCCCGACGCUCGUGACGUCGAGUAGGUCGAUGUGGUAUAUUCAUAUACCCAAAUUGAGCAUCGUAUGAGAAGUUAUUUCGAAAUAUUGGUGAUGUGUUUAAAAUUAACGUUUUUAUAGUUGUUUCGCAUAUAGGUGAGACGUAUCACGAGGACGACCGCAUCCAGGGACGCCACGGGGGUUACGACCCGUCGACUUAUCAGU
rnacentral:lncRNA from 1 species